rnacentral:rRNA from 1 species
GACGAACGCUGGCGGCGUGCUUAACACAUGCAAGUCGAACGGAAAGGCCUGCUUUCCCUUGUGGAUUGCGGGUACUCGCGUGGCGAACGGGUGAGUAACACGUGAGUGAUCUGCCCCCAACUUGGGUAUAAGCCUGGGAAACUGGGUCUAAUUCCCGAUAGGACUGCAGGGUGGUGCCUGUGGUGGAAAACGAUUUUCUAGUGGUUGGGGAUGAGCUCGCGGCCUAUCAGCUUGUUGGUGGGGUAAUGGCCUACCAAGGCGGCGACGGGUAGCCGGCCUGAGAGGGUGGACGGCCACAGUGGGACUGAGAUACGGCCCAGACUCCUACGGGAGGCAGCAGUGGGGAAUAUUGCACAAUGGGCGGAAGCCUGAUGCAGCGACGCCGCGUGGGGGAUGACGGCCCUCGGGUUGUAAACUCCUUUCGACCGCGAGGAAGCCACCUGGUUGGAAGGGUGGUGACGGUAGUGGUAGAAGAAGCACCGGCUAACUACGUG